GUGCUCGCUUCAGCAGCACACAUACUAAAACUGGAACAAUACAGAGAAGAUUAGCAUGGCCCCUGCGCAAGAACGACAUGCAAAUUUGAAGUGUUUCAUAUUUUU
ensembl:snRNA U6 U6 spliceosomal RNA